GUAGCUGCUCAGCAGGGCACUUAGUCACCCAGAGAGCGCUGGAGAAGGAGCUUUGGCAGCUCGGGUGGAGCACGACUCUGUCGCUGUGCAGGCACCGGUGAGGCUUGGGCCAUGCAAAGAGCCAACCGCAGGCUCCCCAGCAGCGUGGGGAGCAGAAACAGAGGGAAAUGAGAUGUGUGAAGCCGGUGUCCCGAGAGCAGCCUGCUUUGAAGGGCCACUCCCAAGCCACGAGAGGGGUGAUGCAAGCUGGGCUGUGCCAGCAGCCCAGCCACUGUCUCCACAGUGAGCAUCAAGGCUUGGGGAAGGAGGAUGCUGAUGUGCUUUGGGUUGGAGCCGAGGUUUGCACGCACAGUCCAGCCAUGCAUGGUGAAUCCCACGGCAUUCCCACCCCACGCAGGACUCCGAGGAGCAUUGUGGAGGAGAAGCACAGGGAUGAAGGAGCUGAGGCCACCCUGCCCUCCUUGGAGCAGAGCCGAUCCCCUGCCCUGCAUCACCAGCAGUAUCAAAUGAAGAUGUUAACGGCGAGCAGACCUGGCACAGAUCUAACCACUAACCACUAACAACAAUACAAGUACCUUGCACUUAAAUUAUGCACUUCCCAUCAGAAGAUUUCAAGGGCCUUUGCUGCACUGGAUAAGUGUAAUUAUUAAAGCUGGGAAAUCCGCUAUGCUGGGGAAUUUAAUACUGAGGUCUGCCUGAGGGCAUAUGUCUUGUUGACUGUUGUGUUACCAUAGCCCUUGUCAGUCCUGGGGUAGAGGUCCCUGCAGUGCUGUGCCUGUCGCUCCAGUCUGCCUUCAUAGACACAGAGGUCCCUGUCUGGGGCACCCCCAGCUUGAAACACCAGGUUCAGAAGAAGCAAAGUGGUGACCCAGCAGCUGGCUCAGGAGUGUCUCUGAUUCCGGUAAAUGAAUCAGUGCCACGCUGUAAUUUUGAUGAAUUAGGAAAUGGUCACAAGAUGUUUCAGUCAUUGUCUGUGGUCAUGCAAUGGGGAAACAAAGGCACAGAGGUCCUGGUUAGUGUGUUAAGCACAUGGGCUGUGAUUCACCUGCCUUUGGGCAACUGGAAGAGGGAUACCCAGGGUUCUGGCUGUUGGAGCAGGAGCAUCCCUGUGGAGGGUCACUGCUCUGAGCUCCUUUGGGAUGGGAGGAACCCCCCUUGGGCAUGGCUGACUUCUGAGGACGUGCAAAUCCCAGCUUGGUUGCCCCUCACCACAGACUGGAGGCUUUCACCCUCCUCCUGCACCCUGCAUGGGGAGCACAGGCUGGUUCUUCCUAUGGGAGUAGCAGGGCUCACCCCUGCCAAAGAGCCUGUCUAAAAUCCUGCCUUGGUUUCAUCUUCAUAGCAACAUACAACUGUGAGGCAGCUUGAGCUGAGUGUAAAAGAGGUUUGCAGGACAUCGUUUCAAGCUCUUUACAAAGAAUGGCCCUUUUUANNNNNNNNNNNNNNNNNNNNUCACUAGAGCAGCUUGCUCCAAGCCCCAUCCAACCUACCCUUGAACAGUGCCAGGGAUGGGGCAACUAAAUGGUCUCAUCUUGUUAGUGUUGCCUUGAUAAUGAGUAAUGUUUAACAGCUCCUGCUCUGGGUGAUGCCGUAUUCCUAAAUCUCCAUUGUGUUCUGUGCCAGCACACGCAAGUACAAGCCGACUUUCUGCUAUGACCUCCUUCAGCUAAACCAAGCAGAAGAGCUGCCACUGAGAGGAACGAUGCUUCAGGAGCAUCCUGGUGCUUCUGCACCCUGAAAAGGGAUGUUCUAUACCCACAGCUCAAACUUUCUCAACUUUGUAUUGCGUGACACCACACCAGCCGUCCUCAGACCAAAGGAACUCAGUGUGCAGGCUGCCAAGAGCAAACCCCUAUAGAUACAGCUUGGACACAGUGGAAUAUGGAGCAGCAGAGAGGGUCCAACAUCUCUGCAGAGCCUCUUGCUAAGACUGGACAGCUUGCCCUGCAGCUGGAGAAACCUGCAGAUUGCUCUUGAAAGGCACUUGCAUGGCUUUUCCUUUGCUUGGCUGGAAUUUGAGCUUUCCUGGUGAUGCCCCCAGGUCCACUACUGCCCCAGGCUGCUGCCUUGCAUCAGUAAUGCCGUUACUCAGUGGCUGUGUAUUAGCCCUUGUGGUAUUUUUCUUUCCUAAUAAAUCAGCUGAUAUUCUUGAUUUUCA
rnacentral:lncRNA from 14 species